rnacentral:rRNA from 1 species
GACAGAGGAUGCAAGCGUUAUCCGGAUUUAUUGGGUUUAAAGGGUGCGUAGGCGGCCUGUUAAGUCAGGGGUGAAAGACGGUAGCUCAACUAUCGCAGUGCCCUUGAUACUGAUGGGCUUGAAUGGACUAGAGGUAGGCGGAAUGAGACAAGUAGCGGUGAAAAUGCAUAGAUAUGUCUCAGAACACCGAUUGCGAAGGCAGCUUACUAUGGUCUUAUUGACGCUGAGGCACGAAAAGCGUGGGGGAUCAAAACAGG